GACAAACGCUGGCGGCGUGCUUAACACAUGCAAGUCGAACGGAAAGGCUCCAGCUUGCUGGAGUACUCGAGUGGCGAACGGGUGAGUAACACGUGGGUAAUCUGCCCUGCACUCUGGGAUAAGCCUGGGAAACUGGGUCUAAUACUGGAUAUGACCUUUCUCCUUAUGGGGUUUGGUGGAAGGUUUUUCGGUGUAGGAUGAGCCCGCGGCCUAUCAGCUUGUUGGUGGGGUGAUGGCCUACCAAGGCGACGACGGGUAGCCGGCCUGAGAGGGUGAUCGGCCACAUUGGGACUGAGAUACGGCCCAGACUCCUACGGGAGGCAGCAGUGGGGAAUAUUGCACAAUGGGCGGAAGCCUGAUGCAGCGACGCCGCGUGAGGGAUGACGGCCUUCGGGUUGUAAACCUCUUUCAGCAGGGACGAAGCGUAAGUGACGGUACCUGCAGAAGAAGCACCGGCUAACUAUGUG
rnacentral:rRNA from 1 species